GACAUGUUAAAAAAAGAAAAAAAUAUAAAAAUAAAAUACAAUUCAAAGUUUAUAAGAACAACCCUUAUAGCAAAUUAUUACACUUCAUUUUCCCUUUGGUUGGCUUCCUUAAAAUUUUCUUAAUAGUAGAAAGCUUGUAUUACCUCAAAAACAUUUGAAAAAAAAAUCUUUUAAUGACAUACAUUAUUCAUCAUAAUAGCGUC
rnacentral:lncRNA from 1 species